GAGCAAUACAAAGGAAGCCACGAGGACCUUUAAUAAUCACUGUACAAUGUUACAAAUGUGUAACACAUGUAUUGGCAGUAUCUGUUGCAUUAAUACUCUGGUUGUCUUUCUAUCUAUAUACAUACACAAUCCAAUAUCAUUGUAUUGUAUGAUAUACCUUUCAUCUUCAUAAGUAAUGGAUGGCACACGUCCCGCUAGCUGGAAAAAAAUACUACGCCAUGAGUAUGUUUUGUGUGCUUGCUCUUAAUGUAUGAUUUAUGAUUUAUUGAUGGCUUUUAUUUGCCCUCGUUCAAAACAGAGACCACUGAACAGUGGACAGUACAUAAAAAUCCCCUCUUUCUCUUUUGCUUUCAUGCAUGAGAAAUGAUUGUACAAAGGGUCACGGUCCAUCUUUAAUUCAUCUCUCUAACGUGCCGAUUGCACUACUUUCACUCAGAAUUCUCCUGUUUUCUAUGUAGCCGCUUUAACGAGUUUGUGUCUGCAAUUUUGAACCUUGCACAGAUGACACUACGCAAAUGUUAUGGUUUUGUUUUGAUAUUUUUUUUUUCUGUUGUAGUAAAACAGUCUCUCAGCAGAACAACUGUAAUAAGCUGCGUGCGUUGCAGGAUCUGCAGAGACAUAUAUGGGAGCACACUGAAGGUGCAGUAUUUAUGUACACCGAGGGUCCGGAAAAGCGGCCAGCGCCUUCCACACAGCGUUAUCCGAAGUUCCCAAGGUAUUAAAAACGUCGCAGUGAGCAGGGUGGCAAUAACGAACCCCUAAUUGCUUCUGAUGGAAGGCGCCUUUGCUUAGCUAGGAGGAGCCCUUUGUACGGCGGCUAGUGCCGCUCGCAGGGCUUGCAGUUCUCCCUUUGCCCUGGGCUCUGCGUCCUGGACCCGGCCCGGGCGCCCCGCCGAGCCGCGCGGAACCUGCGCUCUCUGCCGCGCAUCCAGGCUCCACGGCCCCUACACCGCGCAAUGGAGACCGGCUCGCAGGGUCAACCCAGUGUCCCCGGGCCAGGAGAGAUAGUCGAGGAGCAGGCAACUCCUUUGCGGUCGUCCUGAUCUUCCCGGCAGCACCGGCCCCAACUCCCGCCUAGCUGCCGCUGGUGUUGCUGUUAUUGUUAUUGAUGAUGAUGUUGUUAUUAAAUAUUUAAAGUGUUUGUUGUUGUGUUGUUGUUGCUGUUGUUGUUUUCCCUCCAAAGCCACACUCCAGUGGGGUCCGUGUUAUUUUCCUGCAAUUUGAAAAUGCAACCAUUGUUGUAGCAGCACUAAGCCGGGACUCUCUGCUCGAGGCUAUUUUGGAGAGGGAAAUUUCCAGUGGAAACGAGCGCUUUUAGGGUAAGGUGUGCCCCUCACACACACUCCUCAACAAACAUACUCGUGGGGAUGAGGUUUUCCCAGC
rnacentral:lncRNA from 1 species